AAGAAGGAAGAACCACCCUGGCAUCUACACAGCAUGGGAUGAAGACGUUCUUCCACUCAAACGUCCCAUUCCCUGACGCGUGGUCCUUUAAACUCAACAACGUGGAUAGCAAAGCUCUACUCCGGGAGAGGAAAACCACCAUGUUCCAACUGCAAUGGCGACAGAGAGGAAAAGGAAGCCAAGCCAUCUUUAAUCCUUAAUGACAGCUGUUGCAAAGGGCUAUUCUAGGGACCGUGGAGAUAAACGACGUGAAGGGCAUAGUCCUGUCUGCCAAGGGUUCACACGUGGGAGACACAGACAGGAACAGAGAAAGAGGGAAAGUGGAAAAGUAAC